rnacentral:rRNA from 1 species
UACGUAGGGUGCAAGCGUUAAUCGGAAUUACUGGGCGUAAAGCGUGCGCAGGCGGUUUUGUAAGUCUGACGUGAAAUCCCCGGGCUAAACCUGGGAAUUGCGUUGGAGACUGCAAGGCUGGAGUCUGGCAGAGGGGGGUAGAAUUCCACGUGUAGCAGUGAAAUGCGUAGAGAUGUGGAGGAACACCGAUGGCGAAGGCAGCCCCCUGGGUCAAGACUGACGCUCAUGCACGAAAGCGUGGGGAGCAAACAGG